GAAUCUUCCGCAAUGGACCAAAGUCUGACGGAGCAAUGCCGCGUGAACGAUUAAGCCCGUUGGUUCGUAAAGUUCUGUUGUUUGGGAAGAACAAGUAUCGGAGUAACUGCCGGUAUCUUGACUGUACCUAACCAGAAAGCCAUCACUAACUACGUCCCUGCAGCCGCGGUAAUACGCAGGUGGCAAGCGUUGUCCGCAAUUAUUGGGCGUAAAGCGCGCGCAGGCGGUCUCUUAAGUCUGAUGGGAAAGCCCACGGCUCAACCGUGGAGGGUCAUUGGAAACUGGGGGACUUGAGUGCAGAAGAGGAAAGCGGAAUUCCACGUGUAGCGGUGAAAUGCGUAGAGAUGUGGAGGAACACCAGUGGCGAAGGCGGCUUUCUGGUCUGUAACUGACGCUGAGGCGCGAAAGCGUGGGGAGCAAACA
rnacentral:rRNA from 1 species